rfam:Pseudomonas caspiana strain FBF102 scaffold00002, whole genome shotgun sequence.
CACGACGGACGACCCUCGUGCAGACACAUCAAUAGCGGGACGGCCCGC